GAAGUGAAGAUCUAAUUUUACGAAAUCGGAAUAUUUCCUCUUCAAAGAGUGUAAAAAAGGAAACUCCUUUGUGACCUUGUGCAUUUUACUUAACUCUCUCGGUAUCGGUUUCUUUUAAUCUGUUGAACAACCUGCAAGACAUGAGGGUUGUGGUGAGUUUUUAAUAAGAGCACUAGAGAGACAGUUUAAUCAGUGCAUGACCAAAAGCACACAGAAUAAACUGUAUCAUCAUGGAGGUCUGCCCAGGAAAUCCCCAAAAUACAGAAGGAUCAUAAGUAGAUGGAAAUUCUGUCAUAGAACAUCUCUCACAAGUGUGUUAUAAGAAUGACAGGGAAGCUACAGGUUACAACAGAUUUGUGAACUCAGCCAAGCGCAGUGGUGGCAGGGCCUAGCUGCUACAAAGAAGACAUGUUUUAGACAAAUACUCAUGUAUAUGGGCAAAAAACUCGAGGACUGUAUUUGUGACUAAUUGUAUAACAGGGUAUUUUAGUUUCUGUUCUGUGGAAAGUGUAAAGCAUUCCAACAAAGGAUUUUAAUGUAGAUUUUUUUUUUCACCCAUACUGUUGAUUGCUAAAUGUAAUA